UUUAAAUAUUUUGUAACCACACAACUCACCAUUAAAUACUACCUCCCUCUCUUCUAUGGCACAGUUGAAACAAAAAUAUUAAUAGACAUUAAUUCAUAUCAUAUGGAUAUGGAUCCAGAGAUAAAUCACGAGGUGCCUUUAAUUUCUCUACUCCAAAACGUGCCAUCCCCUUUUGUCAAUUUCUAUGUCUUACAUCUAUAUAUUAUGGCUUCAUGCAUCUCUCUCUAUUCAUAUUCAUAAAGUAUAUGUCUUAUGUUGGUUUGAGAGGUUGAAGCUGCCAGCAUGAUCUGGUCAUCUUGCAGCUUCAAUCACUCAAUCACCAACAGAUAAUUAAUUAACUUCCUUCACUUCCUGUUCAACCUCUCCAUUCAAUUUCACAGGUACCAUAUGCUUUACAUAAUUUACACUUUAUUUCAUUAUUUUUAUCCCUUCUUAAUUCUGAUCUUAUAUUUACAAUUUUGUUUAUUCAACUUUACAUGUGCUUAAACUCUUCUUAUUUCACCUCUUGCUUUGGUUGAAAUGCAAGAAUCUUAAAAAAGUUUCAUAGUGUUGUAUAUAUUAUUGUCUAUCUAGUUUAAAGGGUUGUGAAAAUGUAAUUCAUCACAUGCAUUUGCUUUGGACAAUGAGGAUUAAGAUGUAAAAAAAUGUAGUGUUGUAAACCAAAAUAUUUAUGUUAUAUUUUUGUAUUCGAUUGUAUUAAUUUAGUUUUUUUAUAUUUGUUUUUUUAACAUCCAACAUUACAUUGAUCUAAUGAAAAUUGAAAUCAGAUCUCUUAAGUAACGUCGAUUUAGGUUUAAAUUUUGAAAAUAUAAAAAAUAUAAUUAUGAGGAGAGAUUUAAUUAAACGAAAAUGGACAUGAAUAUAUCACAUAAGUAAAUAAAAAACUCUUGUUAGUAAUUAUAGAUAAUUUUAGCAUACACCAAUACAUUGAUUCACAUGCACGUAUUUGUUAAUUUGUACAAAAUUUGGAUGGAAGAUUGUGAGAAAGAACCUAAGAAGAAGGUUAAUAAUGGACAUGUAAGACAAAGUAUAAUGUUGAUAGUACUAUAGCAAGUAAAAAUCCAUAGGAGCAUGUUUUGAAUAUAUUCAAAUUAGGAAAUUAAUAUUUGUUGUAGUACUAUAGAAAUAAUAUGAGUGAUUGUACAAGAUGGAAGAAGUGAUCUAUGGAUCCCCACAAGCAAAGACAGUAAACAAUGAAUAUUGAUGAUUUGCAGGGAGUGUGUGAUUCAAUUCAACAAGUGGUACUCAUUUGUCUCGUAAUCUCAACAACCUUUAUCUAACUUUUUUCGGAUCAAUUUAGCACGAGUACUGUACACACAAAUUAUUUUUGAACGGUUUAAUUUGUUAGUUUCUUCCGUAGACAACUGUAUGUGGUGGUCCAAUAUUAUUAUAUACAUUUUUUUUUUGACUAUUGGUGGUCCAAUAUUUGGUACCAUCUCAAUCUACCUAAUUAAUUUGCCUGCUGUAUUUUUUCAAGGUAAAAGAAUCAUGCUCCUGUUAUUUUUUAUUUUUUCAUUCUAGUAUUUAA